rnacentral:rRNA from 1 species
UGGGGAAUUUUGCGCAAUGGGCGAAAGCCUGACGCAGCGACGCCGCGUGUACGAUGAAGGCCCUUGGGUCGUAAAGUACUGUCAACGGGGAAGAAGGUCGCCGUCCGAACAGGGCGGCGGCGUGACGGUACCCGUGGAGGAAGCACCGGCUAACUCUGUGCCAGCAGCCGCGGUAAUACAGAGGGUGCAAACGUUGCUCGGAAUGACUGGGCGUAAAGCGCGCGCAGGUGGCCUGUUAAGUCGGCUGUGAAAUCCCCUGGCUCAACCAGGGACGUGCAGUCGAUACUGGCAGGCUCGAGUCCCGGAGAGGGUGGUAGAAUUCCCAGUGUAGAGGUGAAAUUCGUAGAUAUUGGGAGGAAUACCGGUGGCGAAGGCGACCACCUGGACGGGUACUGACACUGAGGCGCGAAAGCGUGGGGAGCAAACA